GUAUACAUGCAGUCGACGCUUCUUUUUCCACCGGAGCUUGCUCCACCGGAAAAAGAGGAGUGGCGAACGGGUGAGUAACACGUGGGUAACCUGCCCAUCAGAAGGGGAUAACACUUGGAAACAGGUGCUAAUACCGUAUAACAAUCAAAACCGCAUGGUUUUGAUUUGAAAGGCGCUUUCGGGUGUCGCUGAUGGAUGGACCCGCGGUGCAUUAGCUAGUUGGUGAGGUAACGGCUCACCAAGGCCACGAUGCAUAGCCGACCUGAGAGGGUGAUCGGCCACAUUGGGACUGAGACACGGCCCAAACUCCUACGGGAGGCAGCAGUAGGGAAUCUUCGGCAAUGGACGAAAGUCUGACCGAGCAACGCCGCGUGAGUGAAGAAGGUUUUCGGAUCGUAAAACUCUGUUGUUAGAGAAGAACAAGGAUGAGAGUAACUGUUCAUCCCUUGACGGUAUCUAACCAGAAAGCCACGGCUAACUACGUGCCAGCAGCCGCGGUAAUACGUAGGUGGCAAGCGUUGUCCGGAUUUAUUGGGCGUAAAGCGAGCGCAGGCGGUUUCUUAAGUCUGAUGUGAAAGCCCCCGGCUCAACCGGGGAGGGUCAUUGGAAACUGGGAGACUUGAGUGCAGAAGAGGAGAGUGGAAUUCCAUGUGUAGCGGUGAAAUGCGUAGAUAUAUGGAGGAACACCAGUGGCGAAGGCGGCUCUCUGGUCUGUAACUGACGCUGAGGCUCGAAAGCGUGGGGAGCAAACAGGAUUAGAUACCCUGGUAGUCCACGCCGUAAACGAUGAGUGCUAAGUGUUGGAGGGUUUCCGCCCUUCAGUGCUGCAGCUAACGCAUUAAGCACUCCGCCUGGGGAGUACGACCGCAAGGUUGAAACUCAAAGGAAUUGACGGGGGCCCGCACAAGCGGUGGAGCAUGUGGUUUAAUUCGAAGCAACGCGAAGAACCUUACCAGGUCUUGACAUCCUUUGACCACUCUAGAGAUAGAGCUUCCCCUUCGGGGGCAAGUGACAGGUGGUGCAUGGUUGUCGUCAGCUCGUGUCGUGAGAUGUUGGGUUAAGUCCCGCACCAACCCACCCUUAUUGUUAGUUGCCAUCAUUCAGUGGGCACUAGCAAGACUGCCGGAACAACCGGAGGAAGGUGGGAUGACGUCAAUCACUGCCCCUAGCCGGGCUCCUGCUCAAGGGAAGAACCUUAAAUCCGGG
rnacentral:rRNA from 1 species